GUUUAGACCGUCGUGAGACAGGUUGGUUUUACCCUACAGACGAGUUGUUUGGGUGAGGUAAAGGUGGCGUGGGGUAGUACGAGAGGAACUCUCACGCAGCACAUUUGGGGUUCGCCGUGCGCUGAGCAGUGGGUGCGGCUAUGCCAUCGUGCUCCGGAUAAAAACUGGGUGCCUCUAAGACUAUUGAAACCGGUCCUGAUACAGCCUCAUCUGAUUC
rnacentral:rRNA from 1 species